UAGUUGUACAAAGCAGUUUGCCUGUGCAUAUGACCCAUGUAACUUUCUUAGUCUCAAAGCUGCAGCUGUAGUCCUCAGAAAGGAAGCUCCAGGACAUUUCAUGACUAUAAUGCAUGCACUAUUUAUAUAGACUGACCUGGCUUUAAAAGAUGGAGCCUGGCAAGUUCCUCACAUAAUCAAUGUAUCCACCUAUCCUUCAUUUUUAUAGUCUUAAAAAACAAACAAAACUCUUUUGCAGUUUCAAGAAAUAUAUAAGAUCUUAAAGACUCAUCAAGAUGUAGGAACAGACUGUGUAAUUAAUGGCUCCUGAGUCUACACUGCCCUGGUGCAUUAGAAAUUAAAAAUACUUUGAUUCUAAAAAAGCCUGAAAAUUUAAUGACUUCCUGCAUUAAAAACAACUAUUGGGAACUGUUAGUAACAAUGGCUAGUCCUAUUAGUCUCUAAAUGAUCCAAUGAUAACCUAAAUUUCUCUUAUUUACAAAUACAGCAAUUGCAAUCCAGAUACACCCUUAAAAUGGGGCACUUAAAUUGGGCUCCAAGACUCACAGUUAAAUGGAACCUAAAAUUCCACUCUUUAUCCACUGGUAAUAGCUACUUUAGUUCCACGCCAACAGAAUACAUUAGACUAAUGGUAUGAAAACACUAGUGGACCUUUAUUAAAGAAAAACAUCUGGACACACACAUACAUACACCUAAAAGCUUAUGGACUUCAUUCAGGGGGUUAGGGUAAUGUUUACAACCUAUUUUGUGAAAACUGCCUGUACAAAUCGUCUUUUAAACUAAGCAUUGAAAAGUUUUCUCACCUAGCUGGGCAGUGGUGGUGCAAGCCUUUAAUCCCAGCACUUGGGAGGCAGACGUGGGUGGAGGAUCUCUGAGUUCAAGGCCACCGUGGUUCCAGACAACUAGAACUACAGAGAAACCUUGUCUUGAAAAACCCAAAAAAUUGAAACCUAAGUAGAAAUCCUUGAUGUAUCUAGUUGUCUCUGACCAAAUGAUACAUUCGUUUUAUAAAUACUAAAAUUCUUUUCAGGUUAUGGUCAGGCAUCUUAUGAAAUACUAUUAGCAAGGAAAACAAGAACAUGUUAUCUUUAGUUUAUGAUGCCCACUGAGCAAUCUCAAAAUCAUAAAAGCAGUUUGAUACAGUACCGGCUUGACAGUGAGUACACACUGCCUAAAUGUGUUAGCAUACUUUAAAAAAAUACCCUCUUAUCCAACUAUUAGGUAUCAGUGACUUAAUUUUUUAAGAAAGAUGACCACCACUGUAGCCUUUUUGAAUUUGUAAGGACAAAGAAAUGCACCUUUAUCCAACAUUUCAAAUAAAUUUUAAAUGGAAGAUGUUUAGCACUACACACUUUGUACAAAGGAAAACAAGCAAGAAACAGGGAAAGGGGAAGCUUCCUUUGUGUGCUUUUACACUGAUGUGUUCUGAAACAUGGAGAUAAUUUCUGGCAUAUUUAUAAGACGACUGUAUGUUCUAUGUAAAUAAAAAUGCUGGUGUGC
rnacentral:lncRNA from 1 species